rnacentral:sRNA from 1 species
GCUGGGCAUGGCAGUGUGUGCCUGUAGUUCCAGAUACUUGGAGGCUAGUGUAGGAGGAUAGCGCUAGCCUAGGAGUUGGAGGGCAGCCUGAGCAACAUAGCAAGACCUCAUCUCUU